CUUCAUGGAAUGGUUGAUUGUGGCGAAAGACAUAAGCACAUCUAUAAGAGAAACAUGAUUCUUGUUGAGCAAGUUAGAGCGAGCAAGGGUAACCCCCUUGUUACAUGUCUUUUGGAAGGUCCUGGGGGAAGUGGUAAGACAGCGAUGGCGGCAACAAUUGGUAUCGACAGUGAUUUUCCAUUUGUCAAAAUUGUCUCAGCUGAGUCAAUGGGUGGUCUAAGCGAGAG